GGCGACGUGGCCAAGUGGCAAGGCAAGAGUCUGCAAAACUCUCAUCAUGGGUUCGAUUCCCAUCGUCGCCUCCU
rnacentral:tRNA from 1 species